rnacentral:rRNA from 1 species
AGCUCCAAUAGCGUAUAUUAAAGUUGUUGCAGUUAAAAAGCUCGUAGUUGGAUUUCUGGCAGGAGUGACCGACCACACACACCGUGUGUGAGUUGUGUCAUUCUGGCCAUCCUUGGUGAGAUCCUAUUUGGCAUUAAGUUGUCGGGUAGGGGAUAACCAUCGUUUACUGUGAAAAAAUUAGAGUGUUUAAAGCAGGCUUAUGCCGUUGAAUAUAUUAGCAUGGAAUAAUAAGAUAGGACUUUGAGUCUAUUUUGUUGGUUUGCGAGUCAAAGUAAUGAUUAAUAGGGACAAUUGGGGGGCAUUAGUAUUCAAACGACAGAGGUGAAAUUCUUGGACCGUUUGAAGACUAACUAACUGCGAAAGCAUUUGCCAAGAGUGU